CCUUUAAUAUUUCUUUUAGGGUCUAAAGGUGACAAAUUCUGUUUUCCUUCAUCUAAGAAUGUCUUAUUUCUACUUUAUUCCUGAAGGAUAUCCACACUGGAUAUAGGUUUCUUUUCUUUCAGAACUAGAAAAAUAUUGUGCCACUUCAUUCUGACAUAUAUAUAUUUCCCCACUAUAGGUAAGGUGUCAUUUUUCUCUGGUGCUUUGAAUACUUUUUUAACUCUAUAUUUUCAGAAAUUUAAUUUGGAUGUGUGUUGGUAUGGAUUUCCGGGAUUUAUCCUGCUUGGGAUUCACCCAGCCACUUGAAUCUCCAGGUUUAGGUCUCUUGCCAAAUGUGGGAUGUUUUCAGCCAUUGUUUCUUCAAGUACUUUUUCAGCUUCACUCCUCCUCUUCCUGGAAUCUGGUGAUGUGAAUGGUGGAUCUUUUGUUCUUUUGUUAUAAUUCCACAUGUUCCUAUGAUGCUGUUUUUUUUCUUUUCCUUCAGUUUGUUUUCUCUCUGUGGUUUAGUUUGGGUUCCACCGUCAUGUUUCAACAUGCAAGUUGGAGGAGACAAGCGUCCAAACUGUAUAACCGUGUCUUCUGAUUUUUUAAAAAUUCAUUUUGAGUUGUUCCAGGUUUUUGGUAUGAUGGGCAAUUUUUUAAAUUGAAACCUGAAUAUUUUUAUAUUGUGAGACUCUGGACCUUUUUAAACCUUCUAUUUUAGUUGAAUUUUUUUGACUCCAUUCUGUCAGGGAAAGGAGAGGCAUCACCUCGUUACUGCUAGGCAGAGAGAGAAGUCCAGGUUUCCCACCAGGCUUCCAUUAGUACCUGAAGAGGAUGAUGCCAUCAUACUGCCAGGAAGUCCAGGCAUCCCAUUAGGACUGCACUAACACUUCAUAAGAUGGGGGAGGGAGAUUUAUUACUGGCCAGUGGGGAGGAAAGCCCCAGCUCUUUACUUGGCACUGUCUGAUACUUUCCUGGCAUGGGUGUUGGGGCAUCUCAUUACAGUGCUUACCAGGGUGGAAGCCUGUACUCCCCAUCCUGCCUUUGCUGGUGUGAGGAGGGGUGGGGGCCAAGGUUUUUUUCUGUGGCGUUUAGCUACAGUAAAGCGGUUAUUCUCUAAAAGAUUUUUGGCUCUCUAGGUGCUGUUUUCCUGAUCCUUUGGCAAGAGAGAUUAUGCUUUCGUUGGGGUGCUUUAUGUUUUUGAUUUCUUUGUUUUUGUCUGUGCUCACAGACAUUUCCAGGUUACUAGAUUCUUCAGCUGCUAGGAAGACUUUCAGCAGCUGAGAUAUAUGAGGCAAAAAGAAAACCUAGGAAACUCACCACCAGGUUAUUCUUUUGAUCCUCAACUCCCUAAAUAGUCUACCUUUACUCUACCUUUCAGCGUCUUCUUAUGUUUGUUUUAUAGAAAAUGUCCAGGGUUAUUGGCUGUACUUAACAGAAGGACUAGAGAAAAAUAUAUCAAUUCUAUGCUUGUUAGAAGCAGGGAACAUCAGACAUACUGAUUUUCUUAGUCUGUCUAGGCUCUCCAGAAGCCACAAUGCAGAGCUCUCUAGGAAAAGAUGGAUUGGAGAGUGGUGUCUGGAGCCAAGGCAGAAGUAGAGUCUCCUCCAUUCCAGAUCUAGGACUUAGGAUGCACACACUCUAGUAUGUGUGCAAAGCACAUAAAGUUAACAAUUUAGAUGAAGUACACCAAUUCCUCAAAUCCCAUAAACUAUCAAAACUCACUGAAGAUGAAAUCGAUAACUUGAAUAGUUCUUACAACUAUUGUUAGAAGUUGAAUUCAAAGUUAAAAAGCUUCUGAAAAAAGAAAUCUUCAGACCCAGAUGAUAUUACUGGUAAAUUCUACUAAACAGUUAAAGAAGAAAUAGCACCAAUUUUACACAAUCUCUUCCAGAAAUAGAGGAGGAGGAAACUUGUCAACUCAUUUUAUGAGGCCAGAAUUAUCCAAAUCCAAAACUAGACAAGAACAAACUAUAGACUGAUACAAAUGCAAAAACCUUAAAGUAUUAGCAAAUAAAAUCUAUCAGUAUGUAAAAGUAAUCAUACAAAAUAAUCAAGUAGGGUUUAUCUCACAAAUGCAAGCCUGAUUUAUAUCUAUAAAUUGAUAAUUUAAAAUAAAUUAUAAUCUGCCAAACUAACAGCAAAAAUUGCAUGAACAUUAAAAAAUCACAUGGUCAUAUCAAUUGAUGCUUUGGCAUUUGACAAAAUUCAGCAUCUGUUUAUGAUAGGAACUCUCAGCAAACUGGGAAUACAAAGGAAUUUACUUAGCUUUAAACGGAGUAUUUUUAAAAGUCUAACCUCAUACUUAAUGAUAAAAGAUUAAAUGGUUUCCCCUCAAAACUGAGAAUGAGGCAGGAAUGUUCACCCUCACUAUUCCAAUUCAUGAUCAUAGGACAAUUCCUAGCCAGUGCAGUAAAACACGAGAAAAAAAGUGCAUGUAGUUGAGGGGAAAAAAGAAGUAAAACUGGCACUGCUUGUAGAUGACAAUGUGAUUGUAUAGAAAAUCCUAAGGAACCUAUCAAAUAAAAUGACCAUCCCAGAACUAAUAAGUGAGUUUAGCAAAGUCACAGAUACAAGGCCAAUACAUAACCAUUUUAUUUCUAUAUACAAGCAAUGAACAAUUGGGAACUGAAAGUUUUAAAAUACCAUUUACAAGUUGUUUUUUUUUUUUAAGUGCUACUCUGUCAAAACAUGUACAAUAUCCACAUGCUAAAAAGUAGAAAACAGUGAUAAAAUCAAUCAAAGAAGACCUAAGUAAACACAUGGAUUAGACAACUAACAGAUUAAAUCCUCAAAUUGAUCUACAGACCGAAGGCAGUUCCAAUCACAGUCCCAAAAGGGCCUUUUUGUAGAUAAAGACAGGCUGAUCCUAAAAUUUAUAUGGAAAUACAAAAAAACUAAAGUACCGUAAACAACUUGCAAAAGAAGAAAGCUGGAUGAAUCACACUACCCAAUGUUAAGAUUUACUCUAUGCUACAGUAAUCAGUGAGCAAAAGGAAAGCAGGUAGACCUUUGGAGCACAGGGAGUCCAGAAAUAGAUUCAUAGAAAUACAGGCCAAUUGAUUUUUUACAUAGGUGCAAAGGCAGUUCAAUGGAGAAAGUUUCAUCUUUACAGUAAAUGGUGUUGCAACAACUGGACAUGGAUAGGCAAAAGAAUGACCCUUGAUCUAAACCACACACCUCACACACAAUUUUAACUUUAAAUGGAUCAUAGAUCUAAAUGUAAAAGGUAGAACUGUAAACUUUUAGAAGAAAACAUAGUGGAAAAACAAUUUUCUGGGAUUAGGCAAAAUGUUUCUAAACAUGCACCAAAAGCAAGACCCAUAUAAGAAAGAAUUGACAAAUUCCUUGUAUGGCAAAUGACUAGCGUCCUAAAUACAUAAAGGACACUCUAAAUCAAGUAGUAAGAAAACAACCCAAUUAAAAAA